rnacentral:rRNA from 1 species
GAUGAACGCUGGCGGCGUGCCUAAUACAUGCAAGUCGAGCGAACAGACGAGGAGCUUGCUCCUCUGAUGUUAGCGGCGGACGGGUGAGUAACACGUGGAUAACCUACCUAUAAGACUGGGAUAACUUCGGGAAACCGGAGCUAAUACCGGAUAACAUGUUGAACCGCAUGGUUCAACAGUGAAAGACGGUCUUGCUGUCACUUAUAGAUGGAUCCGCGCCGCAUUAGCUAGUUGGUAAGGUAACGGCUUACCAAGGCAACGAUGCGUAGCCGACCUGCGAGGGUGAUCGGCCACACUGGAACUGAGACACGGUCCAGACUCCUACGGGAGGCAGCAGUAGGGAAUCUUCCGCAAUGGGCGAAAGCCUGACGGAGCAACGCCGCGUGAGUGAAGAAGGUCUUCGGAUCGUAAAACUCUGUUAUUAGGGAAGAACAAAUGUGUAAGUAACUAUGCACGUCUUGACGGUACCUAAUCAGAAAGCCACGGCUAACUACGUG